CGGACGGGUGAGUAACGCGUGGGUAACCUACCCUGUACACACGGAUAACAUACCGAAAGGUAUGCUAAUACGGGAUAAUAUAUUUGAGAGGCAUCUCUUGAAUAUCAAAGGUGAGCCAGUACAGGAUGGACCCGCGUCUGAUUAGCUAGUUGGUAAGGUAACGGCUUACCAAGGCGACGAUCAGUAGCCGACCUGAGAGGGUGAUCGGCCACAUUGGAACUGAGACACGGCCCAG
rnacentral:rRNA from 1 species